UGGACUUAUGGGACGAACACAAGAACACCCAAAACUAAGGGUAGAUGUGAACCUAACGGUAUACCUCAAGCUUUGAUUACCACUUGAUGAGAACAAGGGUGGUCCGAUCUUCCGAAAGGUUCUGGUAACUCUCGAUUUGCUGGAGACGAGGCACAAAUCGAUCCGGCUUCCGAACAACACGAUCUGAAACCAUGCAAGUUUUUUUUAUUUUUUUAAUAUUUUUGUUUGACUUAGGAGCACUAAAGAAGUAACCCCAGAAAAUUUGAGCUUAAACAAGUGAAAGACGUGGCCUGCGGAAUUCUCUGAAGAUUGCGAAAAAUGUGAAAAAACUUCACGAGGUGAAAACUCAAACUUCGGUGCUGAAUUUGGAGAUUAUAAAAUUGUCAAACCCCCCAAAUGGUGGGGACAAACAGAUCCAAAAAACUUUUCUGAUCGAUUUUGAUAUUUGGAACGUUGUAAUCGGAGUUCAUAUGCGAAAGUUAUGGCUGUUUUACGAACGGACUCCGAAUUAGAGGACAAAACGGUCCGAAAGUGGGAAAAAAUUGCGGCGGUGGCUAGAAAUUGAUGGAAACGCUGGGCAAAAACACAUAAACUGGACUCUUACAAGACCUAACUAGCAACAAGACCUCGACCAGGACACAAACUCAACACUGCGGACUCUGAAACUGAAAUAUGCAGAGGCUAUGGCGCGGAAGGGUUGUUGGAUAGGAAAACGAUAUGGCACUGGACUUAUGGGACGAACACAAGAACACCCGAAACUAAGGGUAGACGUGAACCUAAUGGUAUACCUCAAGCUUUGAUUACCACUUGAUGAGAACAAGGGUGGUCCGAUCUUCUGAAAGGUUUCGGUAACUCUCGAUUUGGUGGAGACGAGGCACAAAUCGAUCCGGCUUCCGAACAACACGAUCUGAAACCAUGCAAGUUUUCUUUAUUUUUUUGAUAUUUUUCUUUUACUUAGGAGCACUAAAGAAGUAACCCCAGAAAAUUUGAGCUUAAACAAGUGAAAGACGUGGCCUGCGGAAUUCUCUGAAGAUUGCGAAAAAUGAGAAAAAAACUUCACGAG
rnacentral:lncRNA from 1 species